UACGUAGGGGGCAAGCGUUGUCCGGAUUUAUUGGGCGUAAAGAGCGUGUAGGCGGCCAGGUAGGUCAGCUGUGAAAACUCAAGGCUCAACCUCGAGACGCCGGUUGAAACCAUCUGGCUAGAGUCCGGAAGAGGUGAGUGGAAUUCCCGGUGUAGCGGUGAAAUGCGUAGAUAUCGGAAGGAACACCAGUGGCGAAAGCGGCUUCCUGGUCCAGCACCGACGUUCAGGCACGAAAGCGUGGGGAGCAAACAGG
rnacentral:rRNA from 1 species